GAUGAACGCUGGCGGCGUGCUUAACACAUGCAAGUCGAACGGGAAAUAUUCCAUUGAGACUUCGGUGGAUUUGAUCUAUUUCUAGUGGCGGACGGGUGAGUAACGCGUGGGUAACCUGCCUUAUACAGGGGGAUAACAGUCAGAAAUGGCUGCUAAUACCGCAUAAGCGCACAGAGCUGCAUGGCUCAGUGUGAAAAACUCCGGUGGUAUAAGAUGGACCCGCGUUGGAUUAGCUUGUUGGUGGGGUAACGGCCCACCAAGGCGACGAUCCAUAGCCGGCCUGGGAGGGUGAACGGCCACAUUGGGACUGAGACACGGCCGAGACUCCUACGGGAGGCAGCAGUGGGGAAUAUUGCACAAUGGGGGAAACCCUGAUGCAGCGACGCCGCGUGAAGAAAGAAGUAUCUCGGUAUGUAAACUUCUAUCAGCAGGGAAGAUAGUGACGGUACCUGACUAAGAAGCCCCGGCUAACUACGUGCCAGCAGCCGCCGUAAUAC
rnacentral:rRNA from 1 species